rnacentral:tRNA from 1 species
GGAGAGUUGUCCGAGCGGCCGAAGGAGCAUGAUUGGAAUCAUGUAAUGGGUCUAACCUGUUUCGAGGUUCGAAUCCCUCACUCUCCG